GGUUACUGUAAUUCAGUGGUAGAACAUCUGCCUUGCAUGCAGAAAGUCCCAAAUUCAAUCCUUGGCAUGUCCA